AGAUUGAACGCUGGCGGCAGGCCUAACACAUGCAAGUCGAGCGGUAGAGAGGUGCUUGCAUCUCUUGAGAGCGGCGGACGGGUGAGUAAUGCCUAGGAAUCUGCCUAGUGGUGGGGGAUAACGUUCGGAAACGGACGCUAAUACCGCAUACGUCCUACGGGAGAAAGCGGGGGACCUUCGGGCCUCGCGCCAUUAGAUGAGCCUAGGUCGGAUUAGCUAGUUGGUGAGGUAAUGGCUCACCAAGGCGACGAUCCGUAACUGGUCUGAGAGGAUGAUCAGUCACACUGGAACUGAGACACGGUCCAGACUCCUACGGGAGCAGCAGUGGGGAAUAUUGGACAAGUGGG
rnacentral:rRNA from 1 species